rnacentral:lncRNA from 1 species
ACUGAGGGGUGUUUUUAUCCUGCCAAUAGGCGCUGCCAUCCUGGGUGAGCUGGGACUGGGACUCCAACUGGAAAGGAAGAAGCUAGCAGGGAGAGAACAAAUCCCGACAGCCCCCGACUCCGAGGUCUUGCUACCUGCAUUCUGCAGCCCAUCUGUUACCUGCCCUCAGGACCAGCCCCAGGGGAACGCUUGCUGCUUUAUCUUGGGCUUCCAUGGACCAUCAGCAGUUCGUGAGAGUUGCGAUUUCUCCAUAUCCCCACCGACGCUUGUAACUACUUGUCUUCUUGAUUAUAACCAUCCUGGUGGGUACAAAGGGAUAGCUCAUUGUGGUUUUAAUUUGCAUUUCCUUAAUGGAAGGUAGGUAUUUGCCCUGUACUGAAUUGUGUCUCCCCAAAGAUUCAGACGUUGAAGCUGUUGGUUCAAAUGUUGUGAAC